CUAGUGUAGCUUCCACAUCCAUUCUCUGGUUCCUCAGCAGCUCUGAGAUGAAGAUCUGGAUCCUAGUGCAGAUCAACUCAGAAUGUCAAAGGUAAGGAUGUCGGAACUCUAAUUUAGGGUUUUCUUAAGAACCCAGGUUAGUCCAAGCAUUUGCCCUUAUAUAUGUGACCACUAGUGCUAACAAAAGUCAUUAGUGCAGUGGUAACUAGUCCCUUGUUUUUGCCAUCAGAGAUUUUAGGGUGGAUGUCAGCUAUGGCCAUGGUGUGGCCAUGCUGCAAAGGACAAUAGCUAUAGAGCCCACUUUGUGAGGCAGUGUUUCAUCCUAAAAGUGAACAGUCUCUACUGAAGGCUGGGGAAGUUCUGCCGUGUUACAGCAAAAUAAACAUACUGUCUUUUAACUCCUCUAGUAGUGGAAGUCCAGAAAAAUCAUGCUAGUUUCAGUUUGACAUUGUCAGCUUACGAUCAUCAUUCUCCUAACGAUACCAUUUUUCUCCAGUGUCAUAGAGUCGGUCAGUGAUGGUCAUUGGAAACAUCGGUUCACCUGUAGGUGUCAAAUUCUGAUAAAACCUAUUCUUUCUUUUGGUCAAUAAGGAGGAGAAAGUAAAUUUCUUAGUGCUUGAACCCUACCAAUCGUAUAAUUACCGUUCAGUGUAGUGUGGUUUCCAGGUGUGGUCCCAGAGGCAUACUUUUGAACAAAUCAUAGCCGUACACUUGUAAUUUCCUCUAUUUUUCUAUUGUUGAUUUAACACGUAUUUUGCUUUCUUCUCUAGGAGGAGAUAAGAAUGCUGAGGAAGACUCUAUAACCAGGGUCAGCUGCAGGAGCAGAAGCCACAGCUUGAGGCAACACCAUCUCUGGCAUCAGCAGCUCUGUAGGGAGGGGCGCUCUUUGGAGGGACUCCUGC
rnacentral:lncRNA from 1 species